rnacentral:lncRNA from 1 species
CGAGCGAAUGAAUACGACGCAGAGAAAAAGACAACACUCCUUUGGUUUCCACGUUUGUUUUUGUCAAGCUUUAAAUGACAAAAGGGGUACGUGCCAUGCAUGCUGCUUGAUGUUACUCAACUGUAGUCAAAACACCUAAGAAAAGAACAGUGGCCUUCUAGAUUGAUUCAGCUAAAUUUGAACAACGAUUGAGAUGUUUGGACGUAAAGAAAACUAAGGUUCACAUUAAGCCCAGACAAGUCUCCAAUAAUGAGGCUGGGAUCAGCGGGUGGAAAGCUCUCCUCAGAUUCAGAAUGUGUAGGUUUUGCAGACACCUUGGAAAAAUGCGUGCUACUUAUCAAGGCAGAAUUCAGACUAGGCGGAGAAUCGCUUGCCUUCCUACUAUUUUUGAAGCGGUAAACGAAGAGAUAGGUACACUGAACAAUACUGAUGAUUCGAGGUUACCGUUGCACCAGCGUUGUGAAUAUAAAAGGGAAGCAAAGGAGAAGAAUGAUCGUGUGGGAAAGGUUCUGUGCAAGGCUACAAGCCGAACCAUGGUAUUAACUAUGGACAUUGGAGCGACUACGAGAACGAUUACUCAAUGCAACACGCACAUGCGGACAGUCUACCCGGAUUUUUUUCCCGAAACGACAUUCUGUAGCAGCAGUAUUUCAAUGCAAAGUACAGGAGUUUUCAACCAAAACGCUUGCUUGGGAAUAAAGCUUCUCAAAAUCGGUGGAAAACGAGAAUGUUUUGAAAAACAAAGAGGAAUUGCCGCCUGGCUUAAGUUUUUUGGCUAAGAAUGCGUCUAGCGUAUUAUGCAAAACUUGUUGCCGGAUCAACAAACAAACCUGGCAGGUGUAGAAUUGUCAAAAAAUCUUUUUCCAUCCAGCGUUUUAUGCUGAGGAAUAGGAUUGUUAAUGUCAUUUUAGUAGUAGUAGCAAUAGCUGAAGUAGUAGUAAGACUCGUUGUUGUUUAUUAAAUCCGUCAUCUGGCUCUAAUUUACUUUUCUGAUAAAACAGAAAACUUUGUUAUGGGGUGCAAUUAAUUUGAUUUGUAUUGAGCAGGUUGUGAUGCGCAUAAAAGAGAUAUUUUUGUACAGAAAACGUGCUGUUUACCUCGCUCUAAUUUGGGAAAACUUAAUUUUCUUAAAAGAAACUGAAUUACCUCCGUUUCAGGGGUUUCUCAAUAAAUAGGAAGAAAUAGGUUUUAACCACGAUCGAGGCAACUUGCGUAGAUUCUAUAAUUACAAACAAUGCAAUGAGUUCCACGCAAACAACGUUGUUUGCGCAAAUUCUCACAAUCGCCCAUCACAAAAUUUCAAUUUCUGUUAUUUUUUGAACGCGCCUCUUUUCGCUUUAGAAAUUAAUGACCUAUAGUGAUUCAUGUUCGAGUGAGAUCGUUUCAUGCUAUAUAAAAUGAGGUAAACAGGGUGCGAAGCACAGUGCUAAAUAUUAAUCAUAAAAUUUGAUUUAUAAAGCGCAUAUCUAUUUGGUACCAAUUUUUACUCAUUUGUAUUAAUUCGCCAUUUCACCCAUUUUCCUUGAUUGAGAGCGUUGCAAAAAUCAACAAAACAUUCCAACUCAGGAGUUGUUCCAACUUUCACCCAGUUCCAUUGUAAUUUGAUAGUCCAUGUGCUGAUUUGCCGCUUCGUCGGGAAGAGACCACUCUGAGGACAAGUGCCUCAGUGCCGUCUGACAGCGAAUAUUCGCUUAAGCACUGGUAGAAUUUCCGAUAUUGGUUUCCCGAUGACAGAACAGCGAGAGUAGUCCGAAAGUUACCGCGCCAUGACUGCGUGAUCAGCUGCUUAGCAACUUCGACAGGAAGACUGCGAGUUCAGUCCGAUCUCGGAGGUCUGAAUUCGUGGUAAACGUGUGCUUGGUAUCUCACCGAGACUGUGAAUGACUACUGAGUGAAGAAAACAAUACAGUGAUGUCAGAGUGAGUCCUUCAGUAACGGUAAACUUACUAAUGAUAUCUCGGGCUUCGCAGAAUUGCAACAGUGAUAACCUAGCAAACGACUUAAAAAAAAAACACUGCUACAACUAAAGGUUGCAGACAACAAGCCACGUUGCUAUUUCAUUUCCACAUCGACGCGGAAGAAAUCCAGCAUUGAGCUUCAUUAUAAUUUCCUGAAGUACUUUUAAUGUAAGUACUUCAUGCGAGGAAGAAAUCUUGUAGCAGGGAUGAAAGUCCACUUAUGCUUUGCAUUUUUCCGUUAGCGUCUAUUGAUCAGCAUUGCUUAUUUCAGUAGUGCUUAUGUGCCAAACUUAAUUUUGGUUUUGAAUGAACCAUGGUGCAUUAUAUUUUUCUUUGUGCAACUAAGGCAAGUCGAUCCUUUUUCAAACCUUCAAAAUCAAAUGCGCCAACGUGAUUGUCUCGGCAGACGCUUACUGGGCGUGUAUAUUUUGUAUCGAAACGUUUGGGCACGUUAUUUUUCAGCUUUUUGUCAAGUUGAGAUUAUACAAAACAUUGUCUAGGCUUUAAAAGGGAAUUGCUUCGAGAAAAAUCUUACAUUUUAUUAACGCGUGUUACGGUGACAAUACCUUUCAACUUUAAGUGGCGUAAACUCUUUCGAUUAUAUCAUACGAUGCCACUUUACCGUUUACGCUCCUUAACUGCCGGCUUAUAUUAUGUUCGACCAAGAUAAAGGACCUGCUUGAAAACAGCCAAGGUUGAUGUGGCUUUCACUCUUAAUAUUGUAAUUUAUAUAUUUAUGUUCUAUUUUUGAACGUAAGUUCUGUUUUUUUCUGUGAUGCUAUUAGCAUUACGGCCCCGACUUGAGGGUGCAAAUUUACAUCACCAUAUAUGGUAAAACUGAGUGUGUUUGUUGACGUAUUAGGCCAAAACAAAUCAGUCGGAAAUAAUACGUCGUGUACUUCCCUCUGCGGUGUCUCGGCCACUUUGCUAGUCAAUAUUGAUGUUUGCGUUUGCUGCGCAGAUGUUCAACCAGGGGUUAUUAGAAAUUCUAGCCACGUCUUCAGAGUUAAAAGGGUGUUGUUCUUGUAAUCACUGAAUCAGUAGGACUGAAAUUAAAUUCUAAAUAAAUGUCUUUAGCCACGCUAGUCAGGGGUAUAUUCAAUGUUGCUAGUAAAAGUAAGAUAACGUAAAAACAAAUUCACCUUACAUUAUGAAAAAGGUUGACUGACUUUUGCUAGCAUGAUAUCUAAAUAGACCUGUAUUUUUAUUGGACAAUGUGUCAGGCUUUUGAUAUACGAUAAUGCAUGUUGUCCUGUUGUGUAGGUUGCGCUAUUAAGCCUUGGUCAGUGUUUUUUUUUUAAAGUUGGAGAUGCCCGUGUUUGUUACUCCUGUUAGCCAUUGUUACAAAAGACGCCGCUAUCAAAUAGCAUAUGAAAUGUUUAUGCUAAUAUCGUAUUGACGUCUUCUACCUUUGGGGUAAUGUGUCUGAUUAAAUGACUGAUAUCAAUCUUACACUGUUCCAAAAACAACAAUCAUUUUGCUUGAAUUAUGUAGAGCCGCGCUCACUUUUCCGUUUCACUUGACGGUGCAACAUUGAUCAAAUUUUACUAUUUAUUCAAGUUGUUAUCAGGGAAUCUGCUUCUCACAGAAGUCAUCAAGUACAGAACAACCCACAACUGAGAAAAGAGGUUUCACGCGAAAGAAGAGAAUCUUUUGGAUCUCGAAUUGUUUCUAAGAAAAACAAUUAAGCCAGAAAAUUUGACUUACAAUCAUGGAAAAAUCUUCUUCUAAGAAAGUCUUCCGUGCCCAUGUGGUGUCAUCUAACAUGUCUCGUGAAAAACGUAGACUAGCGGCAAAAGAGCCCACCCGAAAGAGCCGAACGGAGAUGUUCUGGCGCAAAGGUUCGAAAAUACUUCCAGAUUUUUUCCCGCCUGACAAGCUAAAGAGGAAAACAUUAAAUCAUCAAACGAUCCUUUCAGUUGUCAAGAGGAUUAGCAUAGUGAAACAGUAUUCCUGGGAAAAUGAAGAAAGCGGAGAGUCUGAAGCGCAAACGAUCGCUAAAUCGUGGAUGAUGUACUUUGGCUUUGGCGCUUGUGAAACGUGAUUUUCUCAUUUAAAACAUUGUGUUGUACGAGACGUCUUCCAUAAAUACAAUUCUAUCUAAUUAUUUUUUUAAAAAAUGACGAAUCUUUUUCGUUGUCUUGAUGGAACCCUAAUUGCAAUUAUGUAUCACGUCUACAACAUUCUUAUUGUUGUGAAAAUGCUGGUAAUUCAAGCUUGUCUUGAAUAAUGAAAGACUAAAACUUUCUAAAACAAUGAUUUGGAAGUAUUGAUUUAUUCCAUAUCCAUUUGCCCGCAGUUAUGCAAAUGACUAUAAAAUAAUUUUAUUUUGAUUUACCGUUUAGAAAGAUUAAACAAAACACUGUCCAUUGUACGUUUACUCUUAACACUACACUUGAGGGUAAAGUCAAAAACAAAACUUGCUACGACAUAACACCUGUCACUAUUGGUUUAUUGCCUCUCUUUCAUACUCCAACAGGAAGAAACGGUCAAUGGUUGUGGUAAUCUGACGGUUCAAUCCGUUUGAGCUGAAAACCUUGCUUAGAGACGACAGUGUCACUAAUUUGUUAACAUAUACACUAUGAUUCGACCCAUCAUCAUCAUUAUCGAAUUAAGUAUUACAAAACUACGUUUUUAGAAUUAAAAUAAAUCGAAAUAUAAUUGAAAUUAAAACAUAAUUCUUAUUUCUUUUUAUUUCAAUAUUUCAUAACUUUAAGCUUCGUAACAACACACAGUUCGGAUGUACACGUGCUCUUCUAGUCGUGUAAGUUAAAAUCAUGAUUUGCAUGAAUACCAGUUUAACAAUGUCCUUGGUCAGGGCGCAAACCCUCAGCAUAUUUAUCAGGUUGUCGUAAAAAUAUGACGGUGUUCAUUUAUACUCCUGGUCGAGUGAGGCAUUGUUCAGUGAAUCAUGCACAGAAACACAAAUACGAAAGAUCAGUCCUGAUUUCGAUCUCGUACCUCUAGAUCUAAGGUUCGAAGUCCGGCAUACUACUAGGCCAUACCUGUAAUGGGCACAAUUUAUCUAUUAGCAAGAAAGGCCUGAAAUACAUGACUGGUAUUGAUCGUCGCUUGUUAGAUUGUAAAUAGCAACCUCGUGCUUUAAGAGAAAAAAAAACGAAUCAUCAAUUCAUGUAUUUGUUGGAGCUCUUUGCUCUAAAUUUCUUUUGACAAUAUGUGAUAUCAGUAACAUAGCAAUGUUAUGCGUGCCCACUUGUGAAUUUCGUGUGAAGGUGGGUGCAAUCUGUACGAAUUUAUUAUAUCAACAACGGAUAAUGACGAGAUCAAACCGGGAGCAUCAAACAAUCGUUAUCCUGCCAGUUCACACAUCUUCUCGCUUUUCGCCAAUGAUAAUGAUUUGACCAUGCUCUUUUCUAAUGCAUGCAGCACUAACGACGAGGAGACAAA